rnacentral:rRNA from 1 species
ACUCAAAUGAAUUGACGGGGGCCCGCACAAGCAGCGGAGCGUGUGGUUUAAUUCGAUGCAACGCGAAGAACCUUACCCAGGCUUGACAUGUACGUGGUAGGAAGCCGAAAGGUGACCGACCCGCAAGGGAGCGUGCACAGGUGCUGCAUGGCUGUCGUCAGCUCGUGCCGUGAGGUGUUGGGUUAAGUCCCGCAACGAGCGCAACCCUCGCUGCCAGUUACCAUGUCUGGCGGGACCGCCGGGUUUAACCCGGAGGAAGGUGGGGAUGACGUCAAGUCAGCACGGCCCUUACGUCUGGGGCUACACACACGCUACAAUGGCCGGUACAAUGGGCUGCCAAGGGGCGACCCGGAGCGAAUCCCAUCAAAGCCGGUCUCAGUUGGGAUCGGGGGCUGCAACUCGCCCCCGUGAACGCGGAGUUGCUAGUAACCGCAGGUCAGCACACUGCGGUGAAUACGUUCCCGGGCCUUGUACACACCGCCCGU